rnacentral:rRNA from 1 species
UACAGAGGGUGUGAGCGUUAAUCGGAAUUACUGGGCGUAAAGCGCGCGUAGGCGGCUUUGCAAGUCGGGUGUGAAAUCCCCAGGCUUAACCUGGGAACUGCAUUCGAGACUGCAUUGCUAGAGUAUGGGAGAGGGAAGUGGAAUUUCCGGUGUAGCGGUGAAAUGCGUAGAUAUCGGAAGGAACAUCAGUGGCGAAAGCGACUUCCUGGACCAAUACUGACGCUCAUGUGCGAAAGCGUGGGGAGCAAACAGG